rnacentral:rRNA from 1 species
UGAGUACGAGAUGCUACGGCGUCGAAGCAGUCUAGGUCAUACUUCCAAGAAAAGCUUGCACUGUCAUAAACAAAGAAUGCCUGCACCAUAACCGACACAGGUGGGUAGGUAGAGUAUACUAAGGGGCGCGAGAUAACUCUCUCUAAGGAACUCGGCAAAUGACUCCGUAACUUCGGGAGAAGGAGUGCCUUAUUUUUAAGGUUGCAAUAACAAGAUCCAAGCAACUGUUUACCAAAAACACAGGUCUCCGCUAAGUCGUAAGACGAUGUAUGGGGGCUGACGCCUGCCCAGUGCCGGAAGGUUAAAGAAGUUGGUUAGCAUUUGCGAAGCUGAUAACUGAAGCCCUGGUGAACGGCGGCCGUAACGAUAACGGUCCUAAGGUAGCGAAAUUCCUUGUCGGGUAAGUUCCGACCCGCACGAAAGGCGUAAUGAUUUGGAUACUGUCUCGGAGAGGGGCUCGGUGAAAUAGACUUGUCUGUGAAGAUGCGGACUACCUGCACCUGGACAGAAAGACCCUAUGAAGCUUUACUGUAACUUGAGAUUGAAAUUGGACCUUAUUUGCGCAGUAUAGGUGGGAGGCGUUGAGAAUAAUCUUGCGGGAUUAUCGGAGCCAUCAGUGAGAUACCACUCUUGUAAUGUUAGAUUUCUAACUUUGUAUCAUUAUCUGGUCAAAGAACAGUUUCAGGCGGGCAGUUUGACUGGGGCGGUCGCCUCCCAAAGGGUAACGGAGGCGCACAAAGGUUUCCUCUGAACGGGUAGAAAUCGUAUCUAGAGUGUAAAGGCAUAAGGAAGCUUGACUGUGAGACCUACAAGUCGAGCAGGGACGAAAGUCGGUCUUAGUGAUCUGACGGUGCUGAGUGGAAAGGCCGUCACUCAACGGAUAAAAGUUACUCUAAGGAUAACAGGCUGAUCUCCCCCAAGAGUUCACAUCGACGGGGAGGUUUGGCACCUCGAUGUCGGCUCAUCGCAUCCUGGGGCGGUAGUACGUCCCAAGGGUUGGGCUGUUCGCCCAUGAAAGCGGUACGCGAGCUGGGUUCAGAACGUCGUGAGACAGUUCGGUCCAUAUCCGGUGUAGGCGUUAGAAUAUUGAAAGGAGCCUUCUCUAGUACGAGAGGACCGAGAAGGACAUACCUCUGGUGUGCCAGUUAUCGUGCCAACGGUAAACGCUGGGUAGCUAUGUAUGGAGUGGAUAACCGCUGAAAGCAUCUAAGUGGGAAGCCCACCUUAAGAUAAG